UGCUCUUUGAAAAUAAAGAUAUAAUAUGAAAUAUAAAGAGUACUGCCUGCCCGGUGACAUUGUUUAACGGCUGCGGUAUUUUGACCGUGCAAAGGUAGCAUAAUCAUUUGCCUUUUAAAAGGAGGCUGGUAUGAAUGGCAAGACGGGAUUAGACUGUCUCUUUUUUAUAACUUAAAAUUAAUAUUCUUGUGAAGAAGCAGGGAUAAGAUCGUAGGACGAGAAGACCCUAUUGAGCUUAAAUAGAGAUUAUAAAAUUUUGAGAAAUAGUUUUGCUAAUGAAUUUAUAUAAUAAGAUAAUAAAGUUACAUUAAAAUGAAAGAAUAAUAAUAAUAAUAUUUUGAUUGGGGCAAUCAUGGAGAAUAUACAACCUUCAUUUAAGUAAAUUAAAAUUAAUAAUUUGGUUGUUUUAAGUGUUAAGUGAUCCACUUAAUUGAGUGAUCAGAGGAAAAAGUUACCAUAGGGAUAACAGCGUAAUUUUUUUGGAGAGUCCAUAUUGAUAAAGAAGUUUGCGACCUCGAUGUUGGAUCGGGAUAUCCUAAAAAUGCAGAAGUUUUAAAGGGUUGGUCUGUUCGACCAUUAAAAUCCU
rnacentral:rRNA from 1 species